UAAAGAAAAAAUGAGGAAAUGCUGUGAAGAACUAAUAGAACGUUUCAGAAGCAGAACAAGUCGAGAGCAGUGAUGACCCUUUUGUUCCUGCUAGUACCUCCUGUCUGUCUGGCCGAACUCACCAUCAGAUGAUGUCUUGAACCUCACCUAGAUGGGCUGGUGGUGUGUGGCCAGGUUAAGAGCACCAACAGGAGUAAGAAAGUGACCUGCCUGGUUUUACCGUGUGUACUAGGGGAGGGGUUGAAAGCUUUCGGUUGAUACAUCACCUCUGGGAGUUGAAGAAGAAUGCAAUUAAGAGAGCUAAAGAAGUCAGUAUAGAAUCUGAAACUCAGAGGUCAACUGAUGUGUCAAAGAUACCUCCACAAAUCAGUACCUUGAUUAAAACUAAAAUUGGAGUCAUCUUCAUAUCUCCAUCUUUCUCCCUCUUCAUUAGGACCGAUUGUAGUCUGUUUCCCUCUCACUCACUUGCAAUCUUUAUUGCUUUAGUGUUGCAUUUGAUUUUUAUCUUUGUUUUUGUUUUAAAUACUGUCAUUAAAGUCAUAGAAAAAUCUAAAAUAAAACUGGUUGAAUAAAAAUUUUAAAAUCGACUCUAAUGUAAUAAACCAGACAAAAAUGAUACUUUAAAUGUUAUAUCUUCCCUUUAAACUACAAAUAUUCAUUGAGUGUAUACCCUGUAUUAGGCUGUUGGAAUAAAACAGGGAAGAAGACAGAAGAAACUGCACCGCCAUCUUAGAUCUUGCAGCCAAAUUCCUCUGAACUUUUCUCUAAAGACGUGCUCUGGAAAAAUGUUGAUCAGUUUCCUACAUCAUGGAGGUCUUUUCAUGACCACCUUUGUCUAGACAAUGUCCUGUUUUUAGGUGCACGUUUGAGGGCUGGAGUCUCUGACCCACAGUGCUGCAGCCUGCACGUGGUUUGUCCUGACUUCUUUGCUACUUCACUUUUCGUAAGGCUCUGAGAGUGCAGGCCCUUGUGGGUGGACACUGCAGGGUGAGAGGAAGAAGUAAACUACUUUUUUCCGUUUCUGAUGGGGGUGUGGGUCAGCAGCUAUAAGCAACAGGGACCAUGGGGGGCCUCAGACUUCAGCACCUGAGAGGCAGUUUCAGUCGUAUUGGGGAGAUGCAGGCAUCUGGGUUGCUGCACAUCACCAGGGCAGGGUUCUCUCAGCAGCCCUGGAGUGCAGAGUUCCCAUCAGCUCAGCAGUGAGGGGCACAUGGGGCUCCAGUGGUGAGGACUCUUGGUCCUUGGAUGACAACACUCCCCUGCCCACUUCUCCAGCCUUCCCUGUAACCCUUUGCCACCUCUAACCAAUCUUCUGUGUUACAUCUCUUCGGUUUGCAAUAUGUAGUGUUCGUAUAUGACUGGACAGUAUCUACUGGAGUUAAUAUCUAUCAGAGUAAUUAUAUCACAAUUGCAAUCUUCUCCUAAGAGUGAAUAGUGACAUUAAAAAUUUCAACAUUAUAAAUUAUGCAGAAAUAAAACUAAUUAUACAAAAAAUACACUCUGAAUGUCAGUUUUUCCCUGAGACAAUCUACCAUUUGAUAUACGGUGAUUCACACUUCUUAAUAUACAACAUUGAAUUACUUUUCCAAAAGCCUCUUCAAAUUUUGCUGCAGAAUUAAACUUCACUUGCACCAGCUCUGAAUUAUGUGUGCUUUUCCUUCUUGGUCAAUUUCAUAGGUGUAUCAUUAUUUGUCUUUUUUAAUUAAUAUGUUUAUAUAACUUUUCAUGUUUAUCCAUGUAACUACUGCUUUUGUGAAACGUGUGUUUUUAUCCUUUUCACAUUUUUUUCUAUUGAAAUGUUUUCUUUAUAAAUAUAAAUGUGUUUUUGGUAUGAAAAUAAUAACUGGCCAGAUGCGGUGGCUCACACCUGUAAUCCCAGCACUUUGAGAGGCCGAGGUGGGUGGAUCACCUGGCCUCAGGAGUUCGGGACCAGCCUGGCCAGCAUAGUGAAACCCCAUCUCUACUAAAACUACAAAAUUAGCUGGCGUGGUAGCACGUGCCCUGUAAUCCAAGCUACUUGGGAGGCUGAGACAGGAGACUCAGUCGAACCUAGGAGGCAGAAGUUGCAGCAAGCCAAGAUCACGCUAUUGCACUCCAGCCUGGGCAAAAAGAGCGAAACUCUGUCUCAAAAAGAAGAAAAAAAAUAGUAACUCUUUGUGAAUAGUAUCAACUAAAAUAUUUAUAUUUCAGUUUUCAUUCUGAUAUUUUGUUUCAUCAGAAUUUUUUAAAGUAUUUUGUUUAAUAUAUUAACUUUAAUAAUUUCAUUAACUGUCUCGUGCUUACAAAGUCUUUAUGCAUUUGGGGAUUAUGUAAAGCAUCUACCUUUACACUUUUAAUGAGUUUCAGAGGUUUUUUGGUACCUUUGAGUUAUAAUACAAAAAUAAUUUAUUUGGGUGUGAUAUGCAGUGAAUUGCUAACAUUAU
rnacentral:sRNA from 1 species